rnacentral:rRNA from 1 species
GACGUAGGGCGCGAGCGUUGUCCGGAUUUAUUGGGCGUAAAGAGCUCGUAGGCGGCUUGUCGCGUCGAAUGUGAAAACCCACGGCUCAACUGUGGGCUUGCAUUCGAUACGGGCAGGCUAGAGUUCGGUAGGGGAGACGUGGAAUUCCUGGUGUAGCGGUGAAAUGCGCAGAUAUCAGGAGGAACACCGAUGGCGAAGGCAGGUCUCUGGGCCACUACUGACGCUGAGAAGCGAAAGCAUGGGGAGCGAACAGG